CCCCAAAUCUAAACAACACGCUUUCCCGUCUAUCCCAAAGUUAGGUCAAAUACACAGCAAUUCGGAAUUAGGGUUCGGCCAUUGGUGCAAAGCUUCCCUGACAAAUGGCCGGGAACAACACUACCCCUAGCAUCAACAAUCAAGUUACAGCGGUCUCUGCGGUGCCGAAGACCAUAUGGAUGAAGCAAGCGGAGGAAGCCAAGUUGAAGAGCGAAGCCGAGAAGGCCGCCGCCGCUAAAGCCGCAUUCGAAGCCACCUUCAAUAGCAAGUCCCAGCCCCAGCUGCCCCAAUCCCCUUCCGCCGCGCCGUCCUCCUCUUCGGAUUCCGACGACGACAAUGAGUCGUCCGAGAAGGACUCCUCCGUGGGGCCCGUGGACCCCUCGAGGUGCACGGCGCAGGGCGCGGGGAUUGCUGGCGGCACGGCGUGCGUGGGGGCCACGUUUGCGGUGGUGACGAAGGACUCCGAGGGGAGGAAGGUGCCGCGUGGGGGUGCUCAGGUGAAAGUUAGGGUUUCGCCGGGAGUCGGAGUUGGGGGAAACGACCAGGACGGGAUAGUGAAGGACAUGGAGGAUGGGAGCUAUAGCGUGACUUAUGUGGUGCCUAAGAGAGGGAAUUAUAUGGUUAAUGUGGAGUGCAAUGGGAAGCCGAUUAUGGGAAGUCCAUUCCCUGUUUUCUUCAGCCAAGGGACCCCCAAUGGAGGGCUUCUUGGGGUGGCUCCAGCUGCUUCUUAUCCUAAUUUAGUAAACCAGACCAUGCCCAAUAUGCCAAAUUACUCUGGCUCUGUAUCUGGUGCUUUUCCGGGCUUGCUGGGUAUGAUACCUGGUGUUGUCUCUGGGGCCUCAGGUGGAGUGGUUUUACCUGGAAUGGGAUCUUCCCUGGGAGAAAUGUGUCGAGAGUACCUUAAUGGGCGCUGUGCAAAUACUAGUUGUAAGUUUAAUCACCCUCCUCAUAAUCUGCUCAUGACUGCCUUAGCUGCCUCUACUACAAUGGGAACUCUAAGUCAAGUGCCAAUGGCACCUUCUGCUGCUGCGAUGGCGGCUGCUCAGGCAAUUGUUGCUGCCCAAGCCCUUCAAGCCCAUGCUGCAGCUCAAGCUCAGUCCAGCAAAGACUCAUCUGGUUCAGAUGACAGUGAGAAGAAGGCUGAUUCUCUUAAGAAAACUGUACAAGUCAGUAACCUUAGCCCUCUUCUGACAGUGGACCAGUUGAAGCAGCUUUUUGGUUUUUGUGGGACAGUUGUUGAUUGUACGAUAACUGAGUCUAAGCAUUUUGCAUAUAUUGAAUACUCAAAAGCAGAAGAAGCUUCUUCUGCUUUGGCAUUGAAUAACAUGGAUGUUGGUGGCCGUCCAUUAAAUGUUGAAAUGGCCAAAUCACUCCCACCAAAACCUGCUUUGAAUUCGGCAAUGGGUUCAUCAUCCCUGCCGAUGGUUAUGCAGCAAGCUGUUGCCAUGCAACAAAUGCAGUUUCAGCAGGCUCUUCUGAUGCAGCAAACACUGACAGCGCAGCAAGCAGCUAAUCGUGCAGCAACUAUGAAGUCUGCAACAGAAUUAGCUGCAGCCAGAGCUGCAGAAAUAAGUAAGAAGUUGCAAGCUGAUGGUCUAGUCAUUGAGGUUAAAGAACCUGAAAGAAAAUCCAGGUCACCAAAUGGGCGUGCCAAGUCCAAAUCUAGGUCAAGGUCAAAGUCUACUUCCCCUAUAAAUUAUCGGUCAAGAGGGAAGUCACGCUCGUUCUCACCUCCUGCUCGUCGCCGAAGAGAUUAUCGAUCCAGAUCACCUGUGAGAUCUCGCCAUUACUCAAGUUAUGAGAAGGACCAUAGGUCUUAUAAGGAUGGUAGGGAUGUCAGUGAUAGAAGUAGGAGACGGGAUUGGGGAAGAUCACGUGAUAACGAUUCGCCUCUUUCCCGGAGAAAGAGAAGCAGGAGUGCAAGCCCUCGGGCUAGGAAAUCAUAUCGGGAUGAUGUUGGAUCGCCAAGGCAUCGCCGAGAAAGUCCUGAAAGAACAAGAAAACCAUCACGCCCUGAUUCAAGAUCUCCUCAUCGUCAAAGGAGAAGGUCUUUAUCAUCAGAGGAUGAAACAACUAAAUCUAAACCUCGAAAGCGCUCAUUGUCAAGAUCUGAUGAAAUUGUACAUCACUCUAGCGAUAAGAAAGACAACAGAAGGGAAGAAAAACCCAAGAGUCGGAGUAGGAGACGCUCUAGGUCAGGUUCUGCUGAUGGUCGAAAACAUGUGCGAAGAUCUUCCCCAAGUGUGUUGGAGGAAAGUAGGGCCAGACAUCGAAGACGUUCAAGAUCCAGAUCUCAGGAAGAUAAACAUCAAGUGAGUGAUAAAUAUGAAAGGAGCAAAGAGGAUAAAUCAAGGAACCGAGAUAAAAGGCGAUCCAGGUCCAGGUCAGCUGAAAGGCGUAGGAGAGGCAGUAAGACAUCUCCGCGACAUUCAAGUGGGCAUAAAUCAAAGCACAGGAAGCGCUCUCGUUCAAACUCAAUUGAAAAUUUAGUCGAAAACAAGGAUGGGCAAGUUGAUGUUCCUGUUAAAGCAUUAGAGGAUGGGAAUGACAAAUCUGCCACACCUGAUGAUAUUCAUAUGGAUAGUUUGGCUGAGUAGGGGCAUAUGAAGGGUGAUGGUGUUGGAAGUGACUGUAGCUCUUAAAAAGUAAUGUCUGAAGUGAUGAAACUAAUGAAGAGGAUGAUUGAACAAAGCCUAGAAAAUAUGUAUCUAGCAUGUUUCUGCUUGCCAGAGCUUCUUAACUGGGCUUCUGGUUUCAGGUUCAGCAUAGUUAGGUGUUCUCAGCCUUCUUGUGAUAAAUGUACUUUGUUUCUAUUGCAGGUUUGUGGCCAAAUACAUUUCUCUGGUGUCUGGAGUUGUGCUUGAUUCAGUCAGCGCAGUUCAAGAAGUGUAACUACCCUCAGAUCCAACCAUGACAAUGUUUUUCACAUAACUGUUUAAUUGAUAUAUUAUGAAUCAUAACCUCUAUAUGUAGCUGCAGGUUGUGUGGCUGCAAUUUCUUGGUGCUCUCUCAGAUGAAUUUGGCAUGGUUUACGUAUCUGAUUAUAUACAUAAGGCAUGGUUCUCUUAAGCUGAUUCCACAUCAGAUGCUGCUGAUUUGGUUGGUUAGUUCCUUGAUCAAGUCAUUUGUUCUUUUCUUACAGGUAAUUACUAAUGGUUAUUGGUUUUGUUUGAAUCUUUCCACAAAUAAUGUCUUUCUAGGUUUCUCACCUUUGGUUAGUGCAAUUAUACUUGUUAUUCUCGUUGGUACUCCUUGUUUCUAUAUUUCUUCGUUAUUGCUAGUCAAUCCUAUUUCUGAUAGGGGAGUUGACAAUUUUGUGCGAUUUUGAUCAAUCAUCAAUGUAAAUAAAUUGUUCUGCUAAGAGAUUAUUUGUGCUGAUAUCGAGGUUGCAUACCAGUGCUGCAUUUUCUGCCCUA